AUGGCAGCAUCCAAGCUCACCCGCACCUUGCCCAUCUCCUCCCUCGCCCCCACGCCUCACGCUGGCCCGGCCCUUCGCUCGCCGCCGACGACUGGAGCUGACACGGGCUUGAGCUGGACUUCAUCAAACAGCGUUGGCCGCGGCACGACCGUGGUGUGCGCUACUGGUGUCGACGGCCAGGACACCACCAUCCAUGGCCAUGGAAGCAGGUGGAAACCAACUGUCUGUGUGCUCCUUGGGGAGCUCAUCAACACAGGAACUAUACUAUUAGGCAAGGUAGCAGUUGAUGGCGGCAUGUUUAUAUUCUCAUUGCUCUGUUAUAGAAGCAUUCUAGGUGUCAUUUUCAUCAUGCCAUUUGCCCUACUCCUCGAAAGAGGGAAGUGGAAAGAAUUGGAUACAAAGGCUCUUGUGUGGCUCUCCAUCAAUGCUUUUGUCGGAUACUCGUUGCCUUUGGCAAUGUAUUACUAUGGGCUACAUGACACAAGCGCCUCCUAUGGUGUGAUCUUCUCAAGUUUGACUCCGCUCUUCACGUUUGUCCUGUCAAUAUUGCUUGGUAUGGAGAGCUUGCGCCUCAAAUCCAAAGAGGGCAGCGCGAAGGUGGUUGGUGCAUUGUUAUGUUUUGGUGGGGCUUUGCUGCUUAGCCUGUACAGCGGAAAGGAACUGCAUCUCUUUACCCCGGUUAUAAAAGGCAUCACUAAGAGUUCUAAUGGAGUAGCAGGAGGACAACAUCAUAUGAGGGGAACCUUGCUUUUGUUGGGUGAUUGCAUAUGUUAUGCAUUUUGGUAUCCCAUACAGGUGAAAGUUUUAAAGGUGUACCCAUGGAAACAUUGGUCAUCAACGUUGACUUGUGUUCUAGGUGGUUUGCAAACAUGUGUCGUAGGAAUAUUUGUGAGGAGGGACAAACUUGCUUGGCAAGUAGGAUGGAACAUUCAACUAUUAACAAUUGUCUACUCGGCUGCACUUGGCACAGCCGCCAAUUAUUGGUUGAAUCUAUACGCCGUGGAAAAGCGCGGACCUGUUUUUCCACCAAUGUUCAACACAUUAUCGAUUGUCUUCACCAUGGUUCUUGGGGCAUUAUUACUAGGAGAAGGCAUCACAGUUGGGAGCUUGUUAGGUAGUGCAUUGGUUUUCAGUGGUUUGUAUAUGUACCUCUAUGGAAAGGCCAGAGAACUCCGUGCGAAGAUGACAUCAGGGUGA
rnacentral:rRNA from 1 species